CUCUCCGGGCCUCCGGCUCCGUAUAGCCGCGCAUCCUAGCCCGAAGCUGAUGCUGCCCGGUCGGCUCCGGCCUUCCCGGCUGCCUGACCCGCCGGGCCCCAAGCCCCGGGCUCCGGCCUGGGCCCAGCGGCCUGGAGCGCGGCCUUGGCCCGUCUGCCCGCCGCCUCGCCGCCACGACUUCGCCCGUCUGUGCCCCACCGGCCGCACCUUUGAAUAGGUAGUCGUACUCGUCGUCCCGGGUCCCCAUUGUCCUGGCGCUUCCGGCGGGAUCGGCGACUCCGCAGCCCCACCACAAACACCCGACGGGGGCGGAGCCGGCGCCGCGCAGAGCGGCGGUUGAAUGGCCUAUCAGCGGCGAGUGGAGUAGCGACGGGCACCCAGCGAAGCCAAUCAGAGAUGGAAGUAGUGCUCUGAGGGUGGGCGCCGCUUGGUACCACCCUCCUCGCCCUCGGUGUCCUGGAGAAAGGCGGAAGGAAUGCGGACCUUUUUGAAGUGACGGACGCGCCAGCCUAUCAGGGGCGAGCUCAAGAGGGCGGGGCGGAAGACUGCAGGAAUGAAAUGGAUUGACAGACCAAAUAACUAAUGAGAGGCUUGAUUGAGAACCUACCCGACUAUCAGAGGACCUGUCCGGGAAGAGAAAUGGGGCUACGUCCAGACAGAAUCUCGCUCUGUUGCCUGGGCUGGAGUGCAGUGGCACUGUAUCCGGAAUUGGGGGGUUCUUGGUCUCACUGACUUCAAGAAUGAAGCCAUGGACCCUUGCGGUAAGUGUUCCAGCUCUUAAGGUGGCGCGUCUGGAGUUUGUUUCUUCUGAUGUUCAGGUGUGUUCAGCGUUUCUUCCUUCUGGUGGGUUCAUGGUUUCACUGGCUCAGGAGUGAAGCUGCAGACCUUCGCAGUGAGUGUUACAGCUCAUAAAAGCAGUGGGGACCCAAAGAGUGAGCAGUACAAGAUUUAUUGCAAAGAGCAAAAGAACAAAGCUUCCACAGUGUGGAAGGGGACCCAAGUGGGUUGCCACUGCUGGCUCGGGCAGCCUGCUUUUAUUCUCUUAUCUGGCCCCACCCACAUCCUGCUGAUUGGUAGAGCCCACUGGUCUGUUUUGACAGGGCGCUGAUUGGUGCGUUUACAAUUCCUGAGCUAGACACAAAGGUUCUCCACAUCCCCACCAGAUUAACUAGAUACAGAGUGUCAACACAAAGGUUCUCCAAGGCCCCACCACAGUAGCUAGAUACAGAGUGUCGAUUGGUGCAUUCACAAACCCUGAGCUAGACACAGGGUGCUGAUUGGUGUGUUUACAAACCUUGAGCUAGAUACAGAGUGCCGAUUGGUGUAUUUACAAUCCCUGAGCUAGACAUAAAGGUUCUCCAAGGCCCCACCAGAGUAGCUAGAUACAGAGUGUUCAUUGGUGCAUUCACAAACCCUGAGCUAGACAUAGGGUGAUGAUUGGUGUAUUUACAAUCCCUGAGCUAGACAAAGGUUCUCCACGUCCCCACCAGACUCAGGAGCCCAGCUAGCUUCACCCAGUGGAUCCUGCACCGGGGCUGCAGGUGGAGCUGCCUGCCAGUCCCACGCCGUGCGCCUGCACUCCUCAGCCCUUGGGUGGUGGAUGGGACUGGGCACCAUGGAGCAUGGGGCAGUGCUCGUCAGGGAGGCGCGGGCCGCACAGGAGCCCAUGGAGGGGGUGGGAGGCUCAGGCAUGGCGGGCUGCAGGUCCCGAUCCCUGCCCCGCGGGAAGGCAGCUAAGGCCUGGUGAGAAAUCAAGCGCAGCGCCGGUGCGCUGGCACUGCUGGGGGACCCAGUACACCCUCCGCAGCCGCUGUCCGGCCCGGGUGCUAAGCCCCUCAUUGCCCGGGGCCAGCAGGGCCGGACGGCUGCUCUGAGUGCAGGGUCCGCCAAGCCCACGCCCACCCGGAACUCCAGCUGGCCCACAAGCACCGCGCGCAGCCCCGAUUCCGGCUCGCGCCUCUCCCUCCACACUUCCCUGCAAGCUGAGGGAGCCAGCUCCGGCCUUGGCCAGCCCAGAAAGGGGCUCCCACAGUGCAGCGGUGGGCUGAAGGGCUCCUGAAGUGCCGCCACAGUGGGAGCCCAGGCAGAGGAGUCGCAGAGAGUGAGCGAGGGCUGUGAGGACUGCCAGCACGCUGUCACCUCUCAGCGCCAUCUCGGCUCACUGCAACCUCCACCUCCUGGGUUCAAGCAAUUCUCCGGCCUCAGCCUCCUGAGUAGCUGGGAUUAUAGGUGCGCAUCACUAUGCCCAGCUAAUUUUUGUAUUUUUAGUAGAAAUGAGGUUUCACCACAUUGGCCAGGCCAGACCAGCCUGGACAAUAGAGUGAGACCCUAUAUAGGGAUCUCACUAUAUAGAGCAAUACAGCGGGAUCACCCGACCUCGGGUGAUCCGCUCGUUGGCCUCCCAAAGUGCUAGUGUUACAAGUGUGAGCCAAUGCGCCCAGCCCUAUUCUUUUUUUUUUUUUUUUUUUUUUUGAAAUCAAGUCUUGCUCUGUCACCCAGGCUGGAGUGCAGUGGCAUGAUCUCUGCUCACCGCAACCUCCACCUCCCGAGUUCAAGUGAUUCUCCUGCCUCAGCCUCCUGAGUAGCUGGGAUUACAGGCACCCGCCACCACACCCGGCUAAUUUUUGUAUUUUUAGUAGAGACGGGGUUUCACCAUGUUGGUCAGGCGGGCCUGGAACUCGUAAUGUCAGAUGAUCCACCUGCCUCGGCCUCCUAAAGUGCUGGGAUUACAGGCAUGAGCGACCACGCCAUCUUUUUUUUUUUUUUUUAACAAAACACAGAUGUAGAAUUAGAGCCUUCAGGGGUGGGUGCAGUGGCGCUCACACCUUUAAUCCCAUCACUUUGUGAAGCCAAGGCAGGAGGAUCCCUUGAGUCUCGGUGUUUGAGACCAGCCUGGACAAUAGAAUGAGACCCUGCCUCUACGAAAAAAAAAUUAUUUUUGUUUUGAGAUGGAGUCUUGCUCUGUUGCCCAGGCUGGAGUGCAGUGGCGCAAUCUCGGCUUAUUUGCAGCCUCUGCCUCCUUGGCUCAAGUGAUUCUUCUGCGUCAGCCUCUAGAGUAGCUGGGACUACAGACGUGCACCACCAUGCUCGGCUAAUUUUUGUAUUUUUUUGUAGAGAUGGGGGUUCCACCAUGUUGGCCCGGCUGGUCUCGAACUGCUGACCUCAAGUGACCUGCCUGUCUCGGCCUCACAAAUGGCUGGGAUUACAGGCACGAGACACCGUGCCUGGCCCUGGGAACAUGUUUACAUGGACUUUGUUCACUUUUUAAAACAAACUGAGGGUAACUUACUAGAUCUGUGAACUAAAGAAAGAGAAAAAAAAGAAAGAAAACAAACAAGAACAAAGAACAAAGUGUUCUGAGGUUGCUUUUAUUCCAAGAACUCUGUGAGCUCCGCCCAGAUACCAUUGGCGCCUGCUUGUGUCCCCAGGGGACCUACACACAACAGCACCAGCACCAUGAGGGCGCUCUCGACCCACACAAGCCCUGGUCCCCGUCAGUCAAUGUGACUGAGUCCGCCAUUGAGGCCAGUCUGGCUGGCCCCAAGUGGUCCCUCUGAGUCCCCAACUCCCUGGCCAGCAAGGAGUGAAGCUCCAUGCCCCUUGGUCCACGCCUCUAGAGUCUGAGCAUAUCCUGCAGCCUCGAUCUCAGGAGGCAACGCAUGCAGCCCCCCUGCACUCAGAAAGGGGGCUUCUCCAGUCGUGGUCUUCUUCUCUGUCCACAAGUUUCCAGAUGGCCCCUCCUUGGAGCCCCUGCCCAGGCAGGGAACGGCCACAUCCUCGGGCAGAGCCAAGAGUCACCGUCUUUCGUGGGCCUGGGACCAGGCCCAGCCAGGACGCUAGGAGGCUGCCUCUGCUGCCAUGGGCUGGAUCAACAUGGUGGUGGCCUGCAGCGGGUAGUAGCGGCCCCGCCAGGUCUUCCAGAAGAUUCCCUUCUUAAGCUUCUGCCGCUGCUGUGGGAUGGAGCGGAAGUACUGGCCGUUGAGGUUGGAAUGGCUGCAGGUGCCAAACCACCAGCCUCCUGCCGGGGUCAGGGGAGAGGGAACAUGGUCAGGUCUUUGAGCCACCGAUGGGGCUGAAAGGAGAUAGGGAUAGGGUUGAGGAUGAGGCAGGUUGGGGACCAGGCUGGGCUUUGGACUUGACUUUUUUUUUUUUGAGAUUGAGUCUUACUCUGUCACCCAGGCUGGAGUGCAGUGGUGCGAUCUCAGCUCACUGCAACCUCCGUCUCUCAGGUUUAAGUGAUUCUCCUCCCUCAGCCUCCCGAGUAGCUGGGAUUACAGGCGCCUGCCACCACACCUGGCUAAUUUUUGGUCUUUUUUUUUGAGACUGAGUCUCACUCUAUCUCCCAGGCUGGAGUGCAGUGGCACAAUCUCGGCUCACUGCACCUCUGCCUCCCAGGUUCAAGGGAUUCUCAUGCCUCAGCCUCCUGAGUAGCCGGGAUUACAGGCACCCGCCACCACGCCUGGCUAGUUUUUGUAUUUUUAGUAGUGAGGGGGUUUCACCAUGUUGGCCAGGUUGGUCUCAAACUCCUUACCUCAUGUGAUCCACCCUCCUCAGCCUCCCAAAGUGCUGGGAUUACAGGUAUGACCCACUGCGCCUGGCCUAAUUUUUGUAUUUUUAGUAGAGACAGGGUUUCACCAUGUUGGCCAGGCUAGUUUUGAACUCCUGACCUCAGGUGAUCCACCCACCUCGGCCUCCCAAAGUGCUGGGAUUACAGGUGUGAGCCCCCACACCCGGCCUUAUUUUUAAGUUUAAAAACAAUUUUUUUUGAGACAGGGCCUGGCUCCAUUGCCCAGGCUGGAGUGCAGUGGUGUGGUGAUGGCUCAAUGCAGCGUCAACCUUACGGGCUCAAGUGAUUCUUGUACCUGGGCCUCCCAAGUAGCUGGGACCACAGGUGUGAGCCACCAUGCCUGCAUUUUUUCUUUUUCUUUUGAGGCAGGGGUCUCACUCUGUCACCCAGGCUUGAGUGCAGUGGCGCAGUCUCAGCUCACUGCAGCCUUAUCUCCUAGGCUCAAGAGAUCCUCCCAACUCAGCCUCCCAAGUAGAUGGGAACACAGGCAGGCACCACCAUGCCCAGCUAGUUUUUUGUAUUUUUAAUUGAGACAGGAUUUCGCCCUGUUGCUCAGAUUGGUCUCCUGGGCUCAAGUGAUCCACUCGCUUCAGCCUCCCAAAGUGCUGGGAUUGCAAGUGUGAGCCACCGUGCCUAAUUUUUUUUUUUUUUUGAGAAUUGCUUGAACCCGGGAGGUGGAGGUUGCAGUGAGCCGAGAUCGCACCACUGCACUCCAGCUUAGGCAACAGAGUGAGACCCUGUUUCAAAAAAAAAAAAAAAAAAAGAAUCCUGUGGAGCACCAUUAUAAAGAUGUUUGUGGCCGGGUAUUGUGGCUCACGCCUGUAAUCCCAACACUUUGGGAGGCCGAGGUGGGCAGAUCACUUGAGGUCAGGAGUUCAAGACCACCCUGGCCAACAUGGUGAAACCCCGUCUCUACUAAAAAUACAAAACAAUUAUCUGUGCAUGGUGGCGGGAACCUGUAAUCCCAGCUACUCAGGAGGCUGAGGCAGGAGAAUCACUUGAACCCAGGAGGCGGAGGCUGCAGUGAGCCAAGAUCACGUCACUUGCACUCCAGCCUGGGAGACACAGCGGGACUCUGUCUCAAAAAAUAAAUAAGUAGGCCGGGCGCGGUGGCUCACGCCUGUAAUCCCAGCACUUUGGGAGGCUGAGGCAGGCAGAUCACGAGGUCAGGAGAUCGAGACCAUCCUGGCUAACACGGUGAAACCCCAUCUCUACUAAAAAUACAAAAAAAUUAGCCAGGCGUGGUGGUGGGCACCUAUAGUCCCAGCUACUCGGGAGGCUGAGGCAGGAGAAUGGUGUGAACUCAGGAGGUGGAGCUUGCAGUGAGCCAAGAUCGUGCCACAAAGCACUCCAGCCUGGGUGACAAAGUGAGACUCCGUCUCAAAAAAUAAAUACAUAAAUAAAUAAAUAAACAAACACAUAAGUAAAUAAAAGUAAAGACGGUCAAGACCCUUUUCAGGAUGGGAAAACUGAGGCCAGAUAGGCUAAGUUAGUGGCCCAAUCACACACACGGCAUGUAAGGAAGAGGUGGGGGCAGGAAACAGAUGCAAUGUGGGGUUGAAGGCAGGACAGAGCAGCAGAAAGAUAAGGAGGGAAGCUGCUGGCUGGGUGUGGCAUGGCAGGGCCUGCUCACCAGAGAGGCUCUUGGCGCAGUUCUUGUCCCUGCGGAGGUCGUGAUCCUGGUCCCAAGUGGAGAAGGGUACGGAGAGGCCGCUGGGUGGGACGGUGGUGGCGCCCAGCUGGCCGGCCACGGGUGCAGUGAGCUGCAGGCUAUAGGCCGUGUCCUCGCCACCCAGGUGCACGGAGAACUGCAGCAACUCGGCGUUGCCAUCCCAGUCCCGCAGCUGCACGGCCAGGCGGCUGUUGCGGUCCCCCGUGAUGCUAUGCACCUUCUCCAGACCCAGCCAGAACUCGCCUGGAGUGGGAGAGGCCACUCCAUGAGGCAGGGCCACUUCUGAGGGUCCCUCUUCCUCCCCUGCCUCUGUCCCCACUAGAAACACCUACCGUGGGGAUCCCCAAACCCCGCCUUGUAGGCUUCCCAGGGCCGGUUGAAGUCCACUGAGCCAUCGUGGCGCCUCUGAAUUACUGUCCAGCCUCCAUCUGCCCAGAAAGGUACAAGGUCACCAGGAAGUCCCUCUUCACAGACGACCCCACUCCCUCAUCUGGCUGCCAAGCACCAAACCCCCUCCAAACCCAGGAAGACAGCAGCUCCCUCACUCAUCCCUGGAGGACUCGAGGAGGGUGGGUCAGAGGGAGGAAUAUUAUGGGCUGGCCUUGGGAAGAUCUUUGUCCCAAGAACCCAGCAGGGACUGAGUGUGGGAGGGAGUAGGCAGUGGAAAUCUGCAAAGCCUCUCUGGGCCAGCUGAACUGGGUAAAACCCCGUGUUGUAACCUCUUGUAAUGGAAAGGACUUCUCAGUGGAAAAAAAAGCUUUCUUUUUUUUUUUUUUUUUUUUUAGAGAUGGAGUCUCACUCUGUUGCCCAGGCUGGAUCGCAGUGCCGCAAUCUCAGCUCACUGCAACCUCUGCCUUCGGGGCUCAAGCGAUUCUUGUGCUUCAGCCCCACAAGCAGCUGGAAUCACAGGCACGCCCGGCUAAUGUUUAUGUUGGUAGAGAUAGGGUUUCACCAUGUUGGCCAGGCUGGUCUUGAACUUCUGACCUCAAGUGAUUUGCCCGCCUCAGCCUCCCAAAGUGCUGGCAUUUCAGGUGUAAGCCACCGUGCUCAGCCUUUGUUUUUUUUUAGAAACGAGGUUUUGUUGUGUUGCCCAGGUUGGAGUGCGGUGGCUAUUCACAGGUGUGAUCACGGCUCACGGCAGCCUUUAACUCCUGGGCUGAAGUGACCCUCCUGCCUUGGCCUCCCGAGUAGCUGGGACUACAGGCAUGUGCCACCAUGCCCAGCAAGGGCUGAAUUUUAUUUUAUUUUAUUUUAUUUUCUCUUUUUUAUUUUUUUGAUGGGGGGACGGAGUCUCGCUCUGUCGCCCAGGCUGGAGUGCGGUGGCGUCAUCUCAGCUCACUGCAACCUCUGCCUCCCAGGUUCAAGAGAUUCUCCUGCCUCAGCCACCUGAGUAGCUGGGAUUACAGGUGCACACCACCAUGCCCGGCUAAUUUUUGUAUUUUUAGUAGAGACGGGGUUUCACCAUGUUGGUCAGGCUGGUCUCGAACUCCUGACCUCGUGAUCUGUCUGCCUCAACCUCCCAAAGUGCUGGGAUUACAGGUGUGAGCCACUGCACUUGGCCUUUUUUUUUACUUUUACAAAAUUUUUUGUAAAGAUGAGCUCUCACUAUGUUGUCCAGGCUGGUCUCGAACUUCUGGGCUCAAGUGAUCCUCAUGAUAGGCCUCCCAAAGUGUCGGGAUUACAGAUAUGAGCCACUACACCCAGACAAGGGCUGCAUUUUAAAGAAAAGAGGCCAGGAGCAGUGGCUAAUGCCUAUAAUCCCAGCAUUUUGGGAGGCCAAAGUCGGCAAAUCAUUUGAGGUCAGGAGUUUGAGACCAGCCAGACCAACAUGGUGAAACCCAGUCUCUACUAAAAAUACAAAAAUUAGCUGGGUGUGGUUGCUCGCACCUGUAGUCUCAGCUACUGGGGAGGCUGACGCUGGAGAAUUGCUUGAACCCGGGAGGCGGAGGUUUCAGUGAGCUGAGAUCGUGGCAUUGCACUCCAGCUCCAAGAGCAAAACUCCAUCUCAAAAAAAAAAAAAAAAAAAAAGACCAGCUUGGGCAACAUAGCAAGACCCUGCCUUUAAUUUUUUUGUUUUGUUUUGUUUUCAAUUUAAAGAAAGACAACAGGGCCUAUGGGGAGAGGGGCCCCUGGUGGACUAACACACCCUACCUGAGGUCAUCUUGCAGUUCACCAAAAAUGGCGGAGACCCCUGAGGCUGGAUUUCAAAUAGUCCACUCUGCCUCUCCCCAACCUGGAACAGCUCCUGGCAAUCCCUGGGCAGCCCUGAAGGGAGAUAAAGUGGAGACUUGAAACAGGAGGGCAGCCCCUGGGGGGGGUCUCAGGAGCCAGGCAUAUCUGGGGGCUUAACAGUGGAUGACCAGGGAAGUAAAAGGCAAAUCUUAUCUCAUGACCACCUCUCUGCCAUCUGCCUAACCUCUUCCAUGGCUCCCUAUGUCCUUCCUCAGCAUGGUCCACAAGGCACCUGGAGGACCAGCCCCCGUGCCCAUCCUCCUCCUGCCAUGCUGUACCCACACCCUCUCUGGCACACAGGCUUUCUUCCCACCCUUGUACCACACACCGUCCUGCCACAGGGACUUUGCACAUGCUGUUCCCCCUGCCUGGGACUCUCUUUUUUUGUUUUGUUUUUUGAUACGGAGUCUCGCUCUGUCGCCAGGCUGGAGUGCAGUGGCGCAAUCUUGGCUCACUGCAACCUCCGCCUCCCAGGUUCAAGCAAUUCUGCCGCAGCCUCCGGAGCAGCUGGGACUACAGGCAUGUGCCACCACGCCCGACUAGUUUUUGCAUUAUUUGUAGAGACGGGGGUUUCACCAUGUUGGCCAGACUGGUCUCGAUCUCCUGACCUCGUGAUCCGCCAGCCUUGGCCUCCCAAAGUGCUGGGAUUACAGGUGUGAACCACUGCGCCCGGCGGGACUCUCUUUCCUCACUUCUCUCUCUGGGUCCCAGCUUCUGGAAGGACACCCUGCCUUGCCUCACCCCCAGACCAGGCCAGAACACCCCAAAUGGGAAUUGAGCAAGGACUUCCCACUCCUGGACACUGAGGUCAUCUAAUGGUCUCUCCUCUGACUCAAUGGAGGCUCCAUGAGGCUGGGGACAAGGAGCAGCUCUGCCCACAGCCUGGCACCAGCAUCCACGCAGGCCCCAGCGCAUAGCAGCUGCUCAAUAAAGACUUGAGGAAUGGGCCGGGCGCAGUGGUUCAUGCCUGUAAUCCAGCACUUUGGGAGGCGGGCGGAUCGGUCAGGAGUUUGAGACCAGCCUGGUCAACAUGGCCAAACCCCAUCUCUAGUAAAACAUACAAAGAUUAGCUGGGUGUGAUGGUGGACGCCAGUAAUCCCAGCUCCUUAGGAGGCAGAGGCAGGAGAAUCACUUGAACCCGGGAGGCAGAGGUUGCAGUCAGCUGAGGUUGAACCAUUGCACUCCAACCUGGGUGACAGAGUGAGACUCUGUCUCAAAAAAAAAAAAGACUUGAUAAAUGAAUAAAAAUUAGCUGGGCGUGGUGGCGGUAGGCGCCUAUAAUCCCAUCUACUUGAGAGGCUGAGGCAGGAGAAUCACUUGAACCCAGUGGGAGGCAGAGGUUGCAGUGAGCUGAGAUUGCGCCACUGCACUCCAGCCUGGACAACAGAGCGAGACUCCGUCUCAAAAAGCAAACAAAACAGUCUUGACAAAUGAAUGAAUGAAUGAAUGAAUGAGGCAGCAGGUCCAGAACGGGAAGAACUGUGCUGAGCAGGAGCAUCUCAGAGGCUCUGCCUGGGGUCCCAGCUCCUAGAGGGAGAGGAGGCAGGGUUGAGGAAAGAAAGAGGGAGGGAGGAGGGGAGGAUGGCGUUGAGCACGUCUGGAGGCUCAGACGCUCCAGACUGGGAGGAACCGCCCCCAGCCCAGCCGGAAAAGUAGGGGAAAGGUCGAAAUGAGUCUGCACGGUGGGGGUGGGGGCGGGCCCAGAGUGACCAGGAAGACGCUUUCCGGCCCCUCAGGCAUCUCCCCUUUCCCCUACUUUCCUCCCAUCCAGUAAGGAUGGGCACGCGGCCAAACCACCAGUGUGGCUUCCAUGAAUGCCAGCUGUUCGCCUUCCCAGCUCUGAACUUUCUCCUACUUGGCGGGCCUGAGCCAAGAGUCUGGGAGUCCCGAACCCACAGAACCCCUGCCCCCUUCCACCGCAUUUCCCAGCCAGGACUUGUGCCUUCCCCCGUCACCCUCCAGAAGCCCCUCAUCCUGGGAUGGUGGCUUUGGGAGGGUGGACAGGACCCUGACCACGCUGAGAUGCUAGCCUGGCGGGGUUGGGGGCGGGCAGCACGGAGGUGGGAAGGAGCGGGAGCUUGGGGAGGAGAGAACCCUCAGGUCUACAGUGCUGGAAGCCUGCCACUGACCCUAGGGUGUGAGAGGGGGAUCCAAACUUUCACCCAGUUGGCUGUGGACAGCCACAGAUGCAGGGAAGGAUGAGGACCACAGAGAAACCGUGUGGGGCCGUGAACUUAGAGAACCGCGAGUCUGCAUCGGACACACGUGGACAUGCUGUGGUUCGAGAUGAACGGAGAUUUGGGAAUAAAGCACCUACAACUUGUGGUGGCAGCAAAAGCCCACUUUCUGCGGUGGGGAGGGGGCCGGCGGGGGCGGGGAGGGAGGAGGAGAACAAGAGAGGAAGGAGGAAGAGGGGUCAGGGACCUGGAGCAUUGGAUUUGUAAGAUACAAGAGUGUUUCUGGUCUGGGAGCUGGGGGUUCCCAGCCCUAAUUCCCACAUACCCCAAGACAUUGUGGAGGGCCCAAAUCUACAAACACUACUACCUGGCACCCCCUCCUCCAUGACACCCUCCCCUAGAAGGUUCUAACCUUCAGGAUGGCACCCCGAACCCCAUUUCUACCUUCUCCAGCACCCCUGCAGCUCAAGUCCCUCAAGACCUCUUUCUCCACCUCUGUUCCAAUCAGUGAUCAGCAGGGCUUCAGGGACAGCCCACUGGCUUGCAGAGGAGAAGGGUUGGGUGGCCUGGCUGGGCCAGGUCAGGGCUGAGGAAGGAGGUGCUCCCAUCAGCUUUGACCCAGAGACUGGUGAGCCCUCAGGGACUCCAGGCCAGGACAUCUUCUCCUUAAGGUGGACCUGACAAGGAGAGGACCAGCAAUGGCAAGUGGCGGGGUAGGGGUGGCCACCGGAGAGCAUCGAGGGGCAGACACUCACGGUGCAGGCGGCUGACAUUGUGAGCCGGGUCAACUGGCUGGGCCAUCUCGGGCAGCCUCUUUCUUCGGGCAGGCUUGGCCACCUCAUGGUCUAGGUGCUUGUGGUCCAGGAGGCCAAACUAGGAUGGGACGGGAGGAGGGUGUCAGGUCCUGCCUGGCCCCACGUCCCCAGCCACACGUCCAGUUCUCACCACCUCCCUCUCAACCUGGGGUCCAGCUAUCAGAGGGACCUUUUCUCCCUUGAUCCUAGGGUUACCUGGCUUUGCAGAUGCUGAAUUCGCAGGUGCUGCUUCUCCAGGUGCCGCUGCUGCUGGGCCACCUUGUGGAAGAGUUGCUGGAUCCUGCUGUUCUGAGCCUUGAGUUGUGUCUGGGGAGGGGUGAAAACCUUGGUGAGGACCCAGCUUGCCUACCCCAACCUCUUAAUUCAUCCACUCAUCCAUCCUUCCAAAUCUCCAUCCGCUGAGGCCAGGCAAGGGAGUCUUUCUUUUUUCUUUUUUUUCCCAAUGACGGGGUCUCGUUCUCUCGCCCAGGCUGGAGUGCAGUGGUGCUGUCACAGCUCACUGCAGCCUCCAACUCCUGGGGUCAGGCGAUCCUCCUGUUUUCAGCCUCCUGUGUAGCUGGGACUACAGUCAUGCAGCUCUAUGCCUGGCUUAUUUUUUAUUUUUUCAGACAGAGUCUCGCUCUGUCACCCAGGUUGGAGUGCAGUGGCGCAAUCUUGGCUCACUGCAACCUCUGCCUCCCAGACUCAAGUGAUUCUUGUGUCUCAGCCUCCCAAGUAGCUGCCACCACACCUGGCUAAUUUUUGUAUUUGUAUUUUAUUUUAUUUAUUAUUAUUAUUAUUUUGAGAUGGAGUCGAGCUCUGUCGCCCAGGCUGGAGUGCAAUGGCAUGAUCCCGGCUCACUGCAACCUCCGCCUCCCGGGUUCAAGAGGUUCUCCUGCCUCAGCCUCCCCAGUAGCUGGGAUUACAGGCGCCCACCACCACACCCAGCUAAUUUUUGUAUUUUUAGUAGAGACGGGGUUUCACUGUGUUGGUCAGGCUGGUCUUGAACUCCUGACCUCAGGUGAUCCACUGGCCUCGCCCUCCCAAAGUGCUGGGACUACAAGCGUGAGUCACCGCACCUGGCUUUAUUUUUAUUUUAUCGCUAUUAUUUUUUUGAGGAGUCUCACUCUGUUGCCCAGGCUGGAGUGCAGUGCUGCGAUCUCGGCUCACUGCAACCUCUGCCUCCCGGGUUCAAGAGAUUCUCCUGCCUCAGCCUCCCAAGUAGCUGGGAUUACAGGCAUGCACACCAUGCCAGGCUAAUUUUUUGUAUUUUUAGUAGAGACGAGGUUUCUCCAUGUUGGCCAGGCUAGUCUCGACAGCAGGUGGAGGCUCCGUGAGCCACUGCGCCCGGUCGUUUUUUAAUUUUAUAUUUAUUUUAUUUUAUUUUAUUUAUUUUGUGUGUGUGUGUGUGUGUGUGUAGAAGAGACGGGGGUCUCGCUAUUUUGCUUUAGGUGGUCUUGAAUUCCUGGCCUUGAGCGAACCUCCCUCCUCGGCUUCCUAAGGGGGGAGCCCAUCCCUUGACGCAGGGAAGCCCAGGGAGCCACAGUUGCGCACCCCGCCCCCACGCCCCACUCCUGUCCAUACCCUUCCAAGCCAGGAGAGCCACUAGGGGCGCGGAGAACCAGCCCUGGGGACACGUACCUGCAGGCUGUGAAGGACCUCAGGGUCCACCCGGCUCUCAGGGGCUAACGGGAGGUCGGUGGACCCCUCGGUUCCCUGACAGGCGGACCCGCACGCGCUCAGGCGCCGCUCCAGCGCGCUCAGCUGACUGCGGGUGCGCUCCGCGUGUUCGCGCAGCCCCUGGCCGAGCUGCAGGAGUCCGUGCGCCAGGACAUUCAUCUCGUCCCAGGACGCAAAGCGCGGCGACUUGGACUGCACGGGUCCGCCCUGAGCGCUCAGUAGCACGGCGGUGGCGGCGCAGAGCAUCAGGGCUGCCCCGGCCGUCGGAGCACCGCUCAUCCUCUUAGGUAGCCUGGGAGCGGGGAUUCGGGGACUCUCGGGGACGUUGGGGUUCCAGGUGCGAGGACUGGAGACGCGGAGGACCGGGGGUAAGACCCGCUUGGUUGCAGAAGCCGCUGGAAAGAAUCGGAUCACAGUCGUGUGAGGAUCCGCUCAGCUCGGCUUCUCCCCGCCGCGCCCGAGGACGGUUUUUAUAAGUUGGGUGCGGAGUGGGCGGAGGAGUCUUGGAGGCGGGGUGCGGGGAGUGCUGGGGGCAGGGCCUGUGGCCGGGGGUGGGGUCCUGUCCUCUGGAGGCCUGGUAGUCUGCGGGCUGGGGGAUGCCCUGGGGAUGCCAAACUGUGGCUCUCCCGCCCCCGCUCCAGGCUCAGGCAGGCCUUCCUCUACGAACCGUGGGAGACGUGACUCUUCUUUCCCCCACGGUGCCCGCCUCUAGUGUGAAAUUGCAAGCCCCCUAUUCCGCCCCCGCCUUACCCAGUGGCGGAGAGGGCGCACGCUUGAGGUCAAGACUUCCAGACCAGCCCGGCCAACAUCGUGAAACCCAGUCUCUACUAAAAAUACAAAAAAAAAUUAGCCGGGCUUGGUAGUGCGCGCCUGUAGUCCCAGCUACUCGGGAGGCUGAGGCAGUAGAAUCGCUUGAACCCGGGAGGUGGAGGUUGCAGUGCGCCGAGAUGGCGCCAUUGCGCUCCAGCCUGGGCGACAGAGCCAGAGUACGUCUCAAAAUGAAAGAAGAGAAAAGAAAAGAAAAGAAAGAAAAGAGAGAGAAAGAAGGAAAGAAGGAAGGAAGGACGGAAAAAGAAAAGAGAGAGAGGUAGGGAGGGAGGGAAGAAGGAGAGAGAGAGAGAAAAGAGAGAGAGAAAGGAAAGAGAGAAAGAGGAAGGAAGGAAGGAGGGAAAGAAAGGAAGAAGGAAAGAAAGGAAGGAAAAGAAAAAGAGCUGAGUUCAGCGGAGCCCGGAACUCACCAAAAGUCCUUGCCUUGCGGAGGCUUCGUGUGACCUCCAUCCCAAGACCAGGAGAGACUUUUCUGGGCUCGCAUGUUCCUUCCCGUGAAAGGGUUCGUCAUCGCAGCUGUGUUUAUGAGAUUCUUUGACUUCCAUUUCUCCCCUGAGCCCGAAAUUAUGAGUGCCUUAGCGGCAGGACUUGGAUCAGGGCCUCACCCCCAUAGCCUACCCUCUACCGCCAGGGUCUUUAAUGUCCUGAGCUUUGCCUAUAAUAAAGCAGGAACUUAGAGAACAGAAAGAGGAGACACAAGGAAGGGAGGAACCAGGGCGGUCGCCCAUGACUGUGGUCGCAGCUACUUGGGAGCCUGAGGUGGGAGGCUCACUUGAGCCCAGGAGGUAGAGGCUGCAGUGAGCCACAAUGGUGCCACUGCACUCCAGCCUGGGCAACAGAGUGAGAUCCUGUCUCUAAAAAAGAAAUAAAAUAAAAGUCUGUGGCCAGGCGCGGUGGCUCACGCCUGUAAUCCCAGCACUUUGGGAGGCCGGGUGGUGGGAGGGGGGGGGGGGCGGAUCACCUGAGGUCAGGGGUUCGAGAUCAGCCUGGCCAACAUGGUGAAACCUCGUCUCUACUAAAAAUAAAAAAUUAGCCGGGUGUGGUGGCACGUGCUUACAGCUACUCGGGAGACUGUGUCAGGAGAAUCGCUUGAACUCAGGAGACGGAGGUUGCAGUGAGCUGAGAUUGCACCACAGCACUCCAGCCUGGGUGACAGAGUGAGACUGUGUGUCAAAAAAAAAAAAAAAAGUUUCAGACAUGGAAGACCUUCCUCUUUCUCUCCCUCAUUCAUUCAUUCACUCAUGCACUGAACGAAGGUGCUGCUGCCCUCUAAGCCCAGCCCCUGUAUGUUUGAAGUUCUCAGGCAGGUGGAGAUACCCCAACAUUCUGAGCCUGGGGUAGGGAUAGAGUUGGGACAAAGGAAGUACUGAGUGAGGCUAAAGGGCUGGACCACAUUCAUUCCACAGGGCUAAGUGUUCAUUCAAACUUGCACCGAUCUCCUCUGCCUCUUCCCUACCCAUUCCCCUAUACCCUGUCAGGAAGGGGAGGCUGGCACAGAAAACCAGCCUGCCAGGAAGAACUCGGGGCAGGUUGGCUCAGAGCACUGGCAAGGAGAAGGGCAUUGACUCAGCAGGGCUCCAAGCCAGCUCAUUCUCUGGAAUCUGAAACUGCACACCCAAGGGCUGACGUGCAGGCUGCCACUCAUACACUUGGCCCCGUCAGCUGGGCCAGAUGCCAGGACAGCAAAUCCCUCCCAGCAGCAGUGGACAGGAAAGGGAGGGAGGAAAACCCCAGUGAGGAGUAGGUUCAGAUGGUCACCGUCUGGCCUGUCCACCCCCAAGCCCCCAGCCUCUCUCUGAGUAGGGACACAGCUAUCCCAGGCUAUCCCAGAAUGCAAGCUCCUCCUCUUCCCCACCUUCUUAAACUGAGAGAACUGAUCAAUUACUUCCCCAACCUGAUGACCUUUUCAUGAUCUGAUUUUCAGGGACUUCUUUGGAGCCAUGUGUCCCACAGCACAAAACACAUCACAGACCCAGGGUCUUAAGGGCACCUGCUGUGAGCAAUCUACAAAAGAGUCUAUACUGUCGCCUCAAGUUGGCUCUAGAUUUUAUUCUAAAAACUGCUCUUUAUUUUUUAUUUAUUUAUUUAUUUAUUUAUUUAUUUAUUUAUUUUUUGAGAAGGAGUCUCGCUCUGUCGCCCACGCUGGAGUGCAGUGGCGCAAUCUCGGCUCACUGCAAGCUCCACCUCCCGGGUUAGUGCCAUUCUCCUGCCUCAGCCU
rnacentral:lncRNA from 1 species